GAGUUUGAUCUUGGCUCAGAUUGAACGCUGGCGGCAUGCCUUACACAUGCAAGUCGAACGGCAGCAUGAUCUAGCUUGCUAGAUUGAUGGCGAGUGGCGAACGGGUGAGUAAUACAUCGGAACGUGCCCUGUAGUGGGGGAUAACUAGUCGAAAGAUUAGCUAAUACCGCAUACGACCUGAGGGUGAAAGUGGGGGACCGCAAGGCCUCAUGCUAUAGGAGCGGCCGAUGUCUGAUUAGCUAGUUGGUGGGGUAAAGGCCCACCAAGGCGACGAUCAGUAGCUGGUCUGAGAGGACGAUCAGCCACACUGGGACUGAGACACGGCCCAGACUCCUACGGGAGGCAGCAGUGGGGAAUUUUGGACAAUGGGCGAAAGCCUGAUCCAGCAAUGCCGCGUGUGUGAAGAAGGCCUCGGUGUAG
rnacentral:rRNA from 1 species